rnacentral:misc_RNA from 1 species
CCAAUUUGAUAUGAACAAUGUUUUUCCUUGUGUGCUGAUGCAUCAAUCAUGUUUCUCGGGGAGCUAUUUUCACGAUUCUGGUGCACUGGAAGCUAGUACCUCUCUCUAAAGCAUGUACAAAAUACGUUAUGUGCAUAUUUUGCGAGCGAGGUCAGCUUUGCAGACCAGGCUAAAGCCAAAAUUUAGCAACGAGAAAUCAAUGUUUGUAUAUAUAUGGUCUUUCAGCUUUUGAAGAAUGGUGUUGUGGAAAAGGCAUAUAUAUAUGCAUUGUAAAUAGCUCUUGGUGUAAGUUUUGUUUGUUAUGAGGAUUAUUCUCAAA